AACGCGAAGAACCUUACCCAGACUUGACAUGUAAUGGACAGUGGUAGAAAUAUCAUCUCCCGAAAGGGUCGUUACACAGGUGCUGCAUGGCUGUCGUCAGCUCGUGCCGUGAGGUGUUGGGUUAAGUCCCGCAACGAGCGCAACCCUUAUCAUUAGUUGCCAGCACUUAGGGUGGGAACUCUAAUGAGACUGCCUGGGUUAACCAGGAGGAAGGUGAGGAUGACGUCAAGUCAGCAUGGCCCUUAUGUCUGGGGCGACACACGUGCUACAAUGGCCAGCACAGAAGGCAGCCAAACCGUAAGGUGGAGCAAAUCCCAAAAGCUGGCCCCAGUUCAGAUUGUAGUCUGCAACUCGACUACAUGAAGUCGGAAUUGCUAGUAAUGGCGCGUCAGCCACAGCGCCGUGAAUACGUUCCCGGGCCUGUACACACCGUACGUAC
rnacentral:rRNA from 1 species